rnacentral:rRNA from 1 species
CUACGGCAUCCCUAGUACGGCGAGUGACCGGGAAGAGCUCAAAUUUGAAAUCUGGCGUGCUCAGUGCGUCCGAGUUGUAAUCUAUAGAGUCGUUUUCCGUGCCGGACUGUGUCCAAGUCCCUUGGAACAGGGUAUCAAAGAGGGUGAUAAUCCCGUACUUGACACAAUGACCGGUGCUCUGUGAUACGUCUUCUACGAGUCGAGUUGUUUGGGAAUGCAGCUCAAAAUGGGUGGUGAGUUCCAUCUAAAGCUAAAUAUUGGCGAGAGACCGAUAGCGAACAAGUACCGUGAGGGAAAGAUGAAAAGCACUUUGGAAAGAGAGUUAAACAGUACGUGAAAUUGUUAAAAGGGAAACGAUUGAAGUCAGUCGUGACUGAGAGGCUCAGCCGGUUCUGCCGGUGUAUUCCCCUCAGUCGGGUCAACAUCAGUUUUGUUCGGUGGAUAAGGGCGGUUGGAAGGUGGCACCCUCGGGUGUGUUAUAGCCAACUGUCGCAUACAUCGGAUGAGACUGAGGAAUGCAGCUCGCCUUUAUGGCCGGGGUUCGCCCACGUUCGAGCUUAGGAUGUUGACAUAAUGGCUUUAAACGACCCGUCUUGAACCACGGACCCAAA